GUUCUGGAAUGUUGUGGGUGCGUGUCUUCUGGUGCUCCGAACUUCCUCCCUCCUGCAGUAGAAACGAGUUCUCUUCUGAACUUCUCACUGUACUUGGAGCCGCUGUAUUUUGCCAGUUCACAUCUUCGUCUAAUUCGUUACUAAAUCGCCACAGCAUUGUGUGUUUCAACAAACUUUGUGUCAAUUCUAAUGGAUGCUGAGGAAGAGAACCACAACAGAAGGAAUGGAAGUAGACCUGUUAAUAUCAAUUCCAACAGCGCUCUUCCUAGUUAAGGCAUCCUUGAUUCGACUCCCAGCUAGAGAGUGAAAUUGGAUGAUCUGAACUAGUGGUUCUCAUUUUGGCCUCCAGGACCUUUACACACUUAAACAUUGACACCAAAUAAAACAUUUUAAAAUAA